AAAUGGAAGGCCUAUCAACCUUGGACAACCUCCGUGUAUUGGAUAUAUCAUCCAACAAGCUAACUUCAGUUGAUGACAUUCAAAACCUGACCCGGCAAGAUCUCCAAACUAUGCCAUCACUUUGAGACAGAUUUUUCCUAAUAUUCAGCAAAUUGAUUCCAACGUAUUUGCUUAGAAGUUCAUGGUUCCAAGUUCCUUUUGUCAGGACGGUUGUAUCCAGAAAGUUCAGACUCUCAACUAGUGGUACUUAGUCACGUUCCUGUUCUCUUUAAUUGAACUAACACAUCAUUGCCUUUAAUAUGUUCUCACAAAACUGUUUUGCAGAUCAUAUUCUGGUACAAGAUAGUAAGGACGCCAUUGAUGCAAAAGCUAUGCAUUGCUUCGACUGGGGAUGCAUUUUGUAAUGUAUAUGCCCUAGGAAUUGACUCUUGCAUCUAUAGAUCUACAGCCAACUUUUGUUUUUUCUUCAUCAAAGUAAUAUUUAAUGCAUGAAUAUCAAGUUACUGUUGUUUCUCAUUUUUGUUAGCAUCAGGUAUCAUAGCAGCUGAAUUUAAUAGAGUAAUCAGAAUUUUUAAUCUUCAAA
rnacentral:misc_RNA from 1 species